GAUUCCCCUAGUAACGGCGAGUGAAGCGGGAAAAGCUCAAAUUUGAAAUCUGGCGGUCUACGGCCGUCCGAGUUGUAGUCUAGAGAGGUGUCUUCUGCGUCGGACCAUGCACAAGUCCCUUGGAACAGGGCGUCAUAGAGGGUGAGAAUCCCGUCCGUGGCAUGGACUCCCGGUGCUUUGUGAUGCGCCUUCGAAGAGUCGAGUUGUUUGGGAAUGCAGCUCAAAAUGGGUGGUAAAUUCCAUCUAAAGCUAAAUACAGGCGAGAGACCGAUAGCGAACAAGUACCGUGAGGGAAAGAUGAAAAGCACUUUGGAAAGAGAGUUAAACAGUACGUGAAAUUGUUGAAAGGGAAACGCUUGGAGUCAGUCGCGUUUGCCGGGACUCAGCCUUGCUUCUGCUUGGUGCACUUCCUGGUACACGGGCCAGCAUCGAUUUUGAUCGCCGGAAAAAGGCUUGGGGAAGGUGGCACCUUCGGGUGUGUUAUAGCCCCUUGUUGUAUACGGUGGUUGGGAUUGAGGACCGCAGCACGCCUUUUGGUCGGGGUUCGCCCACGCCACGUGCUUAGGAUGCUGGCGUAAUGGCUUUAAACGACCCGUCUUGAAACACGGACCAAGGAGUCUAACAUGCCUGCGAGUGUUUGGGUGUAAAACCCAGGCGCGUAAUGAAAGUGAAAGGUUGGGACUCUUCGCUGAGGCACCGACGCCCGAUCCUGACGUUCUCUGACGGAUUUGAGGUAGAGCAUGUAUGUUGGGACCCGAAAGAUGGUGAACUAUGCCUGAAUAGGGCGAAGCCAGAGGAAACUCUGGUGGAGGCUCGUAGCGAUUCUGACGUGCAAAUCGAUCGUCAAAUUUGGGUAUAGGGGCGAAAGACUAAUC
rnacentral:rRNA from 1 species